rnacentral:lncRNA from 1 species
UUUUAUUGACUUUUCCUAGGCUCCUAAAUAUUAGUCUUUCAUCCCUAAACCUCUAUAUACGUUCUUACUCAAUCAAAUCAAAACUUUGCAACAAAAAAAAAUUAAACGACUCAAAAUUUGGGAGAAUCUUCAAAGCUAUGUAUAUACAGUUAGAAAAAGAAAAACAACUCAAAUAAACACAUAAAAUAUGAUAAAAAUAAAAAUAAGGA